AAAAAGUACAACUGCAAGUUUCACACUUUUGUUUCUCUGGGAUAUAAAGAAUCUAUCAAGUGAUGCAUCUGUCCCUGAACCCUAAAUGUAUAAAUACCACAAUUUCGCUUAGCUAAAUCUCUGUCGUAAUUAACACCAAGUGAAGUAAAUGCAAAUAGAUUGUUAUAUGUUCUGAUGUAUGUUUGAAAAUGCUUUGAUUCUGCAUCAUUUCCCAUAUAUAAAUUUUUCAGAGUAGCUGGCAUGCGAUGGGAGGUUAAUUUGAUCGUACCUUUGCCACAGCAGAAUCCGGGGGAUUCAUAUUGAAAUCUUUUGGCAGCGCAAAA
rnacentral:lncRNA from 1 species